GGACAGAUGUCAAGUAACUGAACUAUAAUGUUAACACACUAUUUACAUUCAACUUUUAACCAGAGGGCCUAAUGAAAGUUAGGUAUAAUAUAUUAAUGCCAACUUAUGAGUUAAGUUUCUGUGUGAAUAAUCACUUUGCAGCUUAUCUGAAACUCUUAAUAGCAUAUAACCUAUCUGGUUGAGUAUAAUUUGUGCUUAUGAAUUAUAAAUGCCUAGCUUUUACAAUUAAGCUUACCAAUCUAGAAGCAUCUUUAAUGAGAAAUUACCUAAAUUAAAUUGACUGAUACUAUUUGCUGUACUGUGUUCUAGGGUAGUGAUUACCUAAAAUAUAGGCAAGAUGGUUGCCCCCCUGCAUGCAAUAUGGUUUUACUUUUAACAGAAGUAAAGUCAACCCAGUGUCAUGAUCCCAUGUUUGCCCAAAGAAGAGAAUAUGCUACUGGUAUCAUCUAGAAAGCAGAGUAGUUUCCUAUAUAGCCAAGGGGAAGGCAACAUCUUUUGGAUACUUUUCUCUUUUAAAGGGAUGUUUGGCUUACAGGGAAAAGUUUUCUAUUAAAAAGGCAACUUUUAUCUACAAGAUGUUUCCGCUCAUUUGUGAUGAGGGGAAGUUCAACAUGUUGAAUAUGCUGAUUAAUUAAUUCUCCUGGGAGAUCAUGGAGGGUGGAGCUUUCGUUUUCAUAUUUUGCCCUGUCCAGAAACAAGACGUGUUAAUACUACUCAAACACAUCCGUUCCCAAGAAUGAAAAGGACAACGUCACUGCCAGUACUGUUAGAAAACAGCCACUUCCAGUUCCCCAAGCAGAUCCUACCACACGCCAGGUGUGCCAGAGGAGGCUUUGAAAUGUUGUGAAUAGCUUGACAUUAUCACGUUGUUAUUGAGAUGCAAAUUCUCCAGCACAACUUGCAAAGGUUUUCAACAUAGGCAAUGUCUAUUCUUGCUUAUUGUCAACGGAACCCAGUCUUCACUGGAGGGCUUAUUCUAAUAAAAGUAAUCACAGUGC
rnacentral:lncRNA from 1 species